rnacentral:rRNA from 1 species
AAACCUGAGAAACCCGAAAGAUCGAAUGGGGAGAUUCAUCGUCAGCGAUUCCGGUACGUGUGCGGCUCGCGAUGUCCGAGAGACUUCGGUCUCGCGGCGCACGCGUCCGUAUGUUUUUUAUUGCUGGAAUCGUCGGCGUGCACUUCUCCCCUAGUAGGACGUCGCGACCCGUUGGGUGUCGGUCUACGGCACGGUAGGGUAGCCUGUCGCGCAUGGCGCUUCGCGGCGUUACGCGGGGCAGACCUCCGUUCGCCCGACCGACUGCUCGGCGGUACUCGCAAGGUAUCUGGCCGCAGGAAUAUGACUGCGUCCGGCCCGUCGCAAGCGCGGCAAGUGUUUCCCGGCUGUACGGAUCCAAUGCCGUCACCGGGCCUUGCCAGCUGUUGGUUGACGGUGUCCUAGGACUGGCUAACGAUACCGGUCGGCGACGCUACUGCUUUGGGUACUUUCAGGACCCGUCUUGAAACACGGACCAAGGAGUCUAACAUGUGCGCGAGUCAUUGGGAACUCUGUUAAGCCUAAAGGCGCAAUGAAAGUGAAGAUCGGCCUCGCGCCGAUCGAGGGAGGAUGGACCGCGUCACGAUGCGGUCCCGCACUCCCGGGGCGUCUCGUUCUCAU